CUGUCAGCAGGAGAUUUGCAGGCCGCCCCGUGGGGAGGCUGAGAAGAGGUCUUGACUGGGAUCUCGGAGUCCCUCUGCAGAGAGAGGAGUGCUGAUGGCAGACGGACAUAAACCAGAGCGAGAUCUCAGCUAUUUUAAAUCCGGGGCUGGAGGGAAAUCCAGGCCAGGCCCAGGCAUGGGGCUUAAGCGCUGGCAGGUCUUCCUUCUGCGUUGGGACACAGUCGGUGCGUUACACCGAUGGGGGGGGGGAAGAAGGUGCGGAUUUGAGUCGCGACGCUCACUCCAGUGACCUAUGGCUCGGCCCAGCCUACCUCGCAGCUUUGUCACUGAGGACAGGGGGGGGGGCAUUCCACAGACAUCACCCCGAGAUCUGCAAAGGGCAAAGUGGGCUUAAAAUGUAACUAAGGUGACGUCUCCCCCCCCCCCCGAAGCUUUCAAAGAUCCAGAUGAUCUUUUCUCCACCAGAGCAGGGAGUUUCUGAAAUCCCAGGGCCUGAGUGCGCAAUUAAAAGCUGCAAGGUUUUUCGCAAAAGGCAAGGAAGAGGCAGGAUCGCAGCUCAAGGACUCACGCCAGCCAGUCAAAAAUCAAGAAAGGCAGGAGCAAAGAAAUACGCAGGAAGGAAUCUUGGCUUUGGCUAAACAGCCCCAGAGAGGAGCAAGUGAGCAACAGAGUCAGGGCAGAAGCGAAGAAAAUGUUCUGCAUGCUGCAUUAUGAUGGGAUGCCCUGCCGUCGGCUGUGGUCCCUGGCCUCCAGGAAAGAGCUGAGACACAUACAGGACUGUCGAGAAAAUAAGAAGAGGAGAGACGCCUCCGUGGCAACGAGGGGUGGGUGGAUCGGACAAUGUUGACUUAUUUAUAAGAAUACAGUGGUACCUCUGGAUGUAAACGGGAUCCGUUCCGGAGCCCCGUUCGCAUCCUG